rnacentral:rRNA from 1 species
UACGUAGGAGACGAGCGUUGUCCGGAAUUACUGGGUGUAAAGCGCGUGUAGGCGGCAUACCAAGUCUGUUGUGAAAUCGCCCGGCUCAACUGGGCGGGGUCAAUGGAAACUGGUAAGCUGGAGGACGGUAGAGGCGAGUGGAAUUCCCGGUGUAGUGGUGAAAUGCGUAGAGAUCGGGAGGAACACCUGUGGCGAAGGCGGCUCGCUGGGCCGAUCCUGACGCUGAGACGCGAAGGCGUGGGGAGCGAACGGG